UUGACGGGGGCCCGCACAAGCGGUGGAGCAUGUGGUUUAAUUCGAAGCAACGCGAAGAACCUUACCAGGUCUUGACAUCCUUUGACCACUCUAGAGAUAGAGCUUUCCCUUCGGGGACAAAGUGACAGGUGGUGCAUGGUUGUCGUCAGCUCGUGUCGUGAGAUGUUGGGUUAAGUCCCGCAACGAGCGCAACCCUUAUUGUUAGUUGCCAUCAUUCAGUUGGGCACUCUAGCGAGACUGCCGGUGACAAACCGGAGGAAGGUGGGGAUGACGUCAAAUCAUCAUGCCCCUUAUGACCUGGGCUACACACGUGCUACAAUGGGAAGUACAACGAGUCGCUAGGCCGCGAGGUCAUGCAAAUCUCUUAAAGCUUCUCUCAGUUCGGAUUGUAGGCUGCAACUCGCCUACAUGAAGCCGGAAUCGCUAGUAAUCGCGGAUCAGCACGCCGCGGUGAAUACGUUCCCGGGCCUUGUACACACCGCCC
rnacentral:rRNA from 1 species